UUGUCUUUUUGCACCACGUAGACACGGGCCGUUGUUCGUUUAUUUGUUUUAUUGUUUUGGCUAAUGUUUCACUUUGGAAUAAAUAUGUGGAACUCAAUAUCCGCUGUGCCUUGGUCCGUCUCUCCACACGAUCGUGACAAAUAGUCUGGGCGUGUGAUCAAGACAUGGGUUUUGAGAGAGCUUGAGCUGACAAUGACUCAGUGAUAAAAAUCCAUUAGCCGGCAUUCCAUAGACAAAUGUGGUGUGUGUGACCUGAGAUGGAGCCUGAAAGAGUUUGGAACAAUCCCUAAUUGGUCUAAUCAUCCUGGCAUCUGGGAAACAAAGCCGGGGUCAAGUUCAAAUGGCACUGGGUUGAGAGAACCACAGGAUGAACCCAGGAUGGCUUAUGGUGUCCCCGAUCAGCAUGGGAGGAUUUUGACUAAGGAUUUUAGUGUCAACCAUAUAAAAACUUUGCAUUGUCUGUAAAGUUUAGGCUCUCGGCCCAACAGUCAAGACUGUUGGGUUGACUAGUGUCAUUAUUGCAAUAAUUAAUCGAUAUUGAAUAAAGAUUGUUUGACGACAUGACA